UCUAAUAUAGUUUAAAAACAUAGGUUUUGUAAGCCUAAAAUUCAAAUUAGAA
rnacentral:tRNA from 1 species